rnacentral:lncRNA from 1 species
CUGGAGCUGGCAUGUCAGUGAACUGCUAGUAGUCUGUUGUUAUUUAUGUAUUAUUGUCAUUUUGUUUAUUUUCUUUGGUUACAUCUUCUGACAUCAGACUCGGACUUCUCUUGAACUGAAUUUUAAUGUGCGUAUUGUUAUGCGUUUACUUUUCUACAUUGGCUAGAGGUAAAGGGGGAGGGUUGAGAUCUCACAAACAUGUUUAACCCCGCCGCAUUUUUGUGCCUGUCCCAAGUCAGGAGCCUCUGGCCUUUGUUAGUCUUGUAUUAUUUUAAUUUUAGUUUCUUGUGUACAAUUUGGAAAUUAGUAUGGCGUUCAUUAUCCCAGAACUAGUAUAUAUUUGUUUAGGGGCCAGCUGAAGGACGCCUCCGGGUGCGGGAAUUUUUCGCUACAUUGAAGACCUGUUGGUGACCUUCUGCUGUUGUUUUUUUUUCUAUGGUCGGGUUGUUGUCUCUUUGGCACAUUCCCCAUUUCCAUUCUCAAUUUUAUACUGUA